GACAGAGGGUGCGAACGUUGUUCGGAAUUACUGGGCGUAAAGCGCAUGUAGGCGGCAGCGCAAGUCGGGCGUGAAAUCCCACGGCUCAACCGUGGAAGUGCACUCGAAACUGCGCAGCUAGAGUCCUGGAGAGGAAGGUGGAAUGCUUGGUGUAGAGGUGAAAUUCGUAGAUAUCAAGCGGAACACCGGAUGGCGAAGGCGGCCUUACUGGGACAGUGACGUGACGCUGAGAUGCGAAAGCGUGGGGAGCAACAGGGAGUU
rnacentral:rRNA from 1 species